rnacentral:lncRNA from 1 species
GGGAUAAGCUUGGUGCUACCUCUUUUCUUUUGUUUGUUAUUUUCUUUGAAUAAGAGGAUUGAGAGUUUCUGAAUAUUGUGAAGUGAAUUAUGGAAUGGAAAUAUGAUUAGUAUUAUUUGAGAAGAAGAAAGAUUGAAUGCUGAAAUCUGAUUGUAGUUCAGCAAAGAGAAUGAGUCUGUGUUUGUGUGAAACACUGUAAUGUGAAUGGCAGUUCUGUGUGAAGAAUUCCAGUGAUUGGAAUGAGGGUAAUUGUAUGCUGAAAGCUGUGAGGGUGCAGUAUUAUAGUUGGAGAUUGUGAGGGUGAAUAUAUUGGUGGAAAUAGCAGUUAUUAGUAUGACUAAAUUGCUAUAAGGAAGAGACCGAUAAGGUGAAGGAGGAGAUUAUAGUUUCCUUGUGUGUUCAGAUAUUGGAAAUAGAGAUGAUACAUUCAUGAGGUAAUUGAUUGUGUGAUCCUAACAUGAAUGCUUAAGUAACUAGUCAUUUUUUGUAUUCAAAUCUCCCUAUACGGAUUUAUGCUGGAAGGUUUCUUCCUAAAUAAGUAAAACGAGCAAUCACAACU